rnacentral:rRNA from 1 species
GAGUUGAACCAAAAUACCCUAAAGAUACCAGAUCCUGCCUGAUCUUGGAAGCUAAGCAUGGUCAGGCUUGGUUACUACUUGGAUGGGAAAUCGGCCAUAAAUACGAGGUGCUUUAGUCU